rnacentral:tRNA from 7 species
GCCGGGGUGGCGGAAUUGGUAGACGCGCCGGAUUCAAAAUCCGGUUUCUUCGGAAGUGCGAGUUCGAUUCUCGCCCUCGGCACCA